AAGGUUUUAAGUUAAGCAAAACUAAUAGCCUUCAAAGCUAUCAAUAAAAAUAAAUUUUUAAGCCUUA
rnacentral:tRNA from 1 species